GAUGAGCGCUGGCGGCGUGCCUAAUACAUGCAAGUCGAGCGAACGGACGAGAAGCUUGCUUCUCUGAUGUUAGCGGCGGACGGGUGAGUAACACGUGGAUAACCUACCUAUAAGACUGGGAUAACUUCGGGAAACCGGAGCUAAUACCGGAUAAUAUUUUGAACCGCAUGGUUCAAAAGUAAAAGACGGUCUUGCUGUCACUUAUAGAUGGAUCCGCGCUGCAUUAGCUAGUUGGUAAGGUAACGGCUUACCAAGGCAACGAUGCAUAGCCGACCUGAGAGGGUGAUCGGCCACACUGGAACUGAGACACGGUCCAGACUCCUACGGGAGGCAGCAGUAGGGAAUCUUCCGCAAUGGGCGAAAGCCUGACGGAGCAACGCCGCGUGAGUGAUGAAGGUCUUCGGAUCGUAAAACUCUGUUAUUAGGGAAGAACAUAUGUGUAAGAAACUGUGCACAUCUUGACGGUACCUAAUCAGAAAGCCACGGCUAACUACGUG
rnacentral:rRNA from 1 species